rnacentral:rRNA from 1 species
GACGAACGCUGGCGGCGUGCUUAACACAUGCAAGUCGAACGGAAAGGCCCCUGCUUUCAGGGGUGCUCGAGUGGCGAACGGGUGAGUAACACGUGGGUGAUCUGCCCUUGACUUUGGGAUAACCUCGGGAAACUGGGGCUAAUACCGGAUAGGACGUCGUGUUGCAUGGUGUGGUGGGGAGAUUUUUCGGUGUGGGGUGAGCUCGCGGCCUAUCAGCUUGUUGGUGGGGUAUUGGCUUACCAAGGCGUUGACGGGUAGCCGGCCUGAGAGGGUGUACGGCCACAUUGGGACUGAGAUACGGCCCAGACUCCUACGGGAGGCAGCAGUGGGGAAUAUUGCACAAUGGGCGGAAGCCUGAUGCAGCAACGCCGCGUGGGGGAUGACGGCCUUCGGGUUGUAAACCGCUUUCGCCAGGGACGAAGCGCGAGUGACGGUACUGGGUGAAGAAGCACCGGCUAACUACGUG